rnacentral:rRNA from 1 species
UACGAACUGUGCGAACGUUAUUCGGAAUCACUGGGCUUAAAGGGUGCGUAGGCGGUUACUUAAGUCAGGUGUGAAAUCUCUCGGCUCAACCGGGAAACUGCGCUUGAUACUGGGUGGCUAGAGUGAGGUAGGGGUGUGUGGAACUUCCGGUGGAGCGGUGAAAUGUGUAGAUAUCGGAAGGAACGCCAGCAGCGAAAGCGGCACACUGGGCCUUUUCUGACGCUGAGGCACGAAAGCUAGGGGAGCGAACGGG